ACCUGGGUGGCUCUGUCAGUUAAGCAUCUGACUUCAGCUCAGGUCAUGAUCUCACAGUUCAUGGGUUCAAGUCCCAUGUCAGGCU
rnacentral:tRNA from 1 species